rnacentral:rRNA from 1 species
CCUACGGGAGGCAGCAGUGGGGAAUAUUGGACAAUGGGGGGAACCCUGAUCCAGCCAUGCCGCGUGUGUGAAGAAGGCCCGCGGGUUGUAAAGCACUUUCAGUGAGGAAGAACGCCUGGUGGUUAAUACCCAUCAGGAAAGACAUCACUCACAGAAGAAGCACCGGCUAACUCCGUGCCAGCAGCCGCGGUAAUACGGAGGGUGCGAGCGUUAAUCGGAAUUACUGGGCGUAAAGCGCGCGUAGGUGGCUUGAUAAGCCGGUUGUGAAAGCCCCGGGCUCAACCUGGGAACGGCAUCCGGAACUGUCAAGCUAGAGUGCAGGAGAGGAAGGUAGAAUUCCCGGUGUAGCGGUGAAAUGCGUAGAGAUCGGGAGGAAUACCAGUGGCGAAGGCGGCCUUCUGGACUGACACUGACACUGAGGUGCGAAAGCGUGGGUAGCAAACAGGAUUAGAUACCCCGGUAGUC